rnacentral:rRNA from 1 species
GAUGAACGCUGGCGGCGUGCCUAAUACAUGCAAGUCGAGCGAACAGACGAGGAGCUUGCUCCUUCGACGUUAGCGGCGGACGGGUGAGUAACACGUAGGUAACCUACCUAUAAGACUGGGAUAACUUCGGGAAACCGGAGCUAAUACCGGAUAAUAUUUCGAACCGCAUGGUUCGAUAGUGAAAGAUGGCUUUGCUAUCACUUAUAGAUGGACCUGCGCCGUAUUAGCUAGUUGGUAAGGUAACGGCUUACCAAGGCAACGAUACGUAGCCGACCUGAGAGGGUGAUCGGCCACCCUGGAACUGAGAAACGGUCCAGACUCCUACGGGAGGCAGCAGUAGGGAAUCUUCCGCAAUGGGCGAAAGCCUGACGGAGCAACGCCGCGUGAGUGAUGAAGGUCUUCGGAUCGUAAAACUCUGUUAUUAGGGAAGAACAAACGUGUAAGUAACUGUGCACGUCUUGACGGUACCUAAUCAGAAAGCCACGGCUAACUACGUG